rnacentral:lncRNA from 1 species
GAAAAGAGAAGGAAAGAGGAUUGGAAUCCCCAAAUCAUCCAAUUCACCUUCCAAGCAAACCUAACUUGUUUCCACCCACAUCCAAUGAUGUCUGUUCAUUCCAAUCCCACAGAGCAGGCGGGAUGCAGAAGACACUUGCCAAGUUUGGAGUUGGACUGUUCGUGCAGCCUGGGCCCCUGGCCACCUGCUGGCUCCCUCAGGCUCCUCGACUGGGAACCCUGGGUCUCGCAGCUCUCAGGAGGCAGCUGUGGCGACCGUGGCACAAGGUUCCAUGAACGAUGCCGCUUCUGUUGCAGGAAGUUUGCUCAUCACCUUUGGUGCUCCGAGACUCCACUGCGACUCACGCCAGCCCUGCACAGGGGCAGUGGCCCUGAGAGUCUGGCCUGCUUAAUUAUGAUUAAUUGCCACAUGGAUAAUCAGAUACAGUUUCAAAAGGUUGGAAAUGACAUUCCAAGGACACCAGGGAAGACACAAGGUACGCCUUUGUUCACAGGAAGAAAAGGCAGGUCCCUCACUCAGCCCCGUAACCUUUUCUUAUUUUAACAAUUCCAAACAGAAUUAAUACCAUCAGUAUAUUGUUCCCACUCCGGGGAAUUGAACUUCAACUGUACAAUUUCUGCAGCUGUCAGUGUUUUCAGACCUCCUGUCAAUAAUGCAAUGUUGGGGUGCC